GCAUCAUUAUAUGGCUUUGUCAUAGUUGAUGACUAUUCUCGUUACACAUGGGUGCAUAUCAUCACUUACAAAAAUGAAGUGCACGAAGUCUUCAGACGAUUUUCCUCAAGGGCUUCCACUAACUUCGGUGUGAAGAUCAAGCAUAUCAGGAGUGAUAAUGGAACCGAGUUCAAGAACACUGGCCUCGAUGAAUAUCUUGAUAUGCUUGGUAUUACUUACGAAUUAUCUGCUCCUUAUACUCCUCAGCAGAAUGGCGUCAUGGAGCGCAAGAACAAAACUCUUGUUGAGAUGGCUCGCACCAUGCUUGAUGAAUACAAGACACCUCAGUGCUUCUGGCCUGAAGCAAUUGAUAUUGCGUACCACAUCAUCAACAUGGUAUAUCUUCACAAAUUCUUCAAAAAGACCUCAUAUGAACUCCUCACUGAUAAGAAACCCAAUGUAAGUUAUUUCAAAGUCUUCGGUGCUAAAUGUUGGAUUAGAGAUCCUCACCAUCACUCUAAAUUUGCACCGAAAGCACAUGAG
rnacentral:rRNA from 1 species